rnacentral:rRNA from 1 species
UACGUAGGGCGCAAGCGUUUGUCCGGAAUUAUUGGGCGUAAAGAGCUCGUAGGCGGUCUGUCGCGUCGGAUGUGAAAGCUCGAGGCUUAACCUCGGGUCUGCAUCCGAUACGGGCAGACUAGAGGCAGGUAGGGGGAGAACGGAAUUCCCGGUGUAGCGGUGAAAUGCGCAGAUAUCGGGAGGAACACCGGUGGCGGAGGCGGUUCUCUGGGCCUGUACUGACGCUGAGGAGCGAAAGCGUGGGGAGCGAACAGG